GAUGUCAUUGGACAGGGACGAGUUAAAGUCAAGCGUGUCACGUGACGUCUAGUUCCCCUCACUCUUUCCUUCUCUCGUGUUUUUCUCCCAACAUGUCCUUCUUCAUUCGUGAGAAGUUUGGAGAAUAUGACAGAACGCGCAUGAAUACAGCACAGCCCCUGAAGAGAAACCACAAAGACCACAGCAGAACAUUAGGCAUCAGUCUAUUCUCUAUUUUAGAAUGAAAGGAUAUGAUGACAUUUGUCAUGAAUAUUCAGGUGAAGGUGACCAUUGGGCCCAUCAUUAUUAUAGUAGGCAUUUGGGUUGUGUAUGAUUAAUACACCACUGCCUUAAAAGG